rnacentral:misc_RNA from 1 species
UUUCCGUAGGUGAACCUGCGGAAGGAUCAUUCAUAAUAAAGUGUUUUAUGGCACUUUUUAAAAAUCCAUAUCCACCUUGUGUGCAAUGUUAGAUCUCGUCAAUCUUGGCGAGAUUUUUAUACAUCAACUCAUUCUUUAACUAAUUUGUCUGAAAAAUAUUAUAAAUACUUAAUUCAAAAUACAACUUUCAACAACGGAUCUCUUGGCUCUC